UUACAAGUGAGUGGAUAAAUGGUGAGAAUUUAUCACCCCUUUGAAUAUCAGGAAGAAGACAACGAUGCCCACUCUGUUACCACCUCUAAUCAGCACUGCACUAGGGGUUCCGACCAGUGUAGAAAAGCAAAAAACAAAACAAAAAUAAAAACAUAAAGUAAAAAUCCAGAACAACAGGAAUGGGAAAGAAAACCCAUUACUCAUAGAAAACAUGACUGUGUGCCUAAAAAUGAGGAAACAGCUACAGGCAAAUGAUUAAAAUUACUAGACUGCCGGAUACAAAUUAAUACACAAAAAUGAAUUUCCAUGAAAUGGCAACACAUAAUUAGGAAAAUGAAAUCCAAGCACAUUUUUAAAAACAGCAUCGCAAAAUAACAAGGACCUAGGAUUAAAUGUAACAAAAGACAUACAAGACCACUGUGAAAAGUAUCAGGCUGUAUGAACACCCGCUGAAGGAGCCCUAACAUUUGGAGAGACAGAUACCAUGUUCAGAGCUUGUAAAACCCAGUACUGCAAGUACGUCAAUGAUUCCCAAGUUGAUCUACAGGUUCAACACAAUCCCAAACAAAAUCCCAACUCGACCGGCUAGUUCUAAAAUGUAUGAAACACAAAGGGUCAAAAACAGCCAAGACAUCCUAACAUAAGAUGGAGGUACGCGCCCCAGAGUGUGUGGUAUUGGCAGAGACAGACAAGGAGAUGCAGAAACGGACACAGAGAUCAUCCUGACAAAGGAAUCUUCAGCAGCCGGGACUGGGAAAACUGGGCUUAUGUCUGCAACACAAUGAAACUGGAUCCUUAAGCUUCACAACAGGCGCAAAAAUCAAUUCUGGGUAGAAUCUAUAUCUAAAAUCCAAAAUAUACAAAACUAUAAAAUCCUUUGGAAGGUAACAGAGUAUCUUUAUGAUCAAGGCAAAGUAAAGAUUAUUAAAAAUUAGGAUCCAAAAUGCUUUAAUCAUAAAAGAAAAUAUUGAUACAUUGGGCCAUAUUAAAGUUUAAAAUUUCUCUUAAAAGACACCAUUGAAGUAAAAAGACAAGAAAAGCUAUUUGCAAAUGUAAUUCACAAAGCACUACUACCCAGAAUCAUAAAUAACACCUGCAAAUAAAUGAGACAGACCAUCCAAUAGAAAAGUAGGGAAAAUACUUGAAUAGGUACUUUACAAACAGGAAAUCCCAAUGAGCCGCAGACACAUGAGAAGGUGCUGAACAAGGAGAAGCCAAUGAAACCAGAAAGAGGUCUACCCCACACGUUCCACCACCCCGCGCCCUCCGCCACCCCGCGCCCUCCACCACCCCACUCCCUCCACUACCCCACACCCACCGGAGUGAAGGUGCUAACACUUCAGGCAAUGGGUGCUGAAAACAUGGACCGGCAGACGUGGUCAUACACAACUAGCAGUCGGGCCUGCGGGUACCACCACUUUGGAACAGUUGGGAAUUUCUAGUAAACCUGUUAAAAACAUGGUUAAGCAGUUAAUGGAAACGUGAACAUAAUGGGAUAUAAAACUAAUGAAAAAAAUCAAAUGGAGUUUUUUUGUUUUUUUUUUGAGACGGAGUCUUGCUCUGUCGUCUAGGCUGGAGUGCAGUGCUGCAAUCUUGGCUCACUGCAACCUCCGCCUCCCAGGUUCAAACGAUUCUCCUGCCUCAGCCCCCCAAGAAGCUGGGACUACAGGUGCCCACCACCAUGCCCAGCUAAUUUUCAUUUUUAGCAGAGAUGGAGUUUCGCCAUGUUGGCCAGGCUGGUCUCAAACUCCUGGCCUCAAGUGAUCCUCCUGCCUCAGCCUCCCAAAGUGCUGGGAUUACGGUGUGAGCCACCCCGCCUAGCCUCAAAUGGAAUUUUAGAACAAAAAUAUACCUAAUUUCUGAUAUAAAAAAUUCACUAUACAAGCUUAACAUCAAAUUAGGCAAGUGGAAGAAAAGAUUAGUAAGCCUCGCAACAGGACAAUAAAACCACCUAAAGGAAAGGAUGAGAGAACAAGGAUGAAAAAGCAUCACGUUUAGUGACCUGAGAGACAGUAUCACAGUCUAACAGAAAGCUAACUAGAGUCCCAGAUGGGGACAGGGAGGAAGAAGUGAGAGACGGGGUCAGACAAGAAAUAUGAGUAGUGGCUGCAACUUUGCCAAAUCUGGUGAAAAAUAUGAACUCACAGGUCCAAGAAGCUCAAUGAAACCCAAACGAGGUAAGCAUCUAUAAGCUUAAAGUGGAUUAAUAUUAACAUCUUCUAAUACUCUUACAUACAUAAAUUACGUGAUGACAAAUUAACCCCAUCCCAACCCUACAGAAAAUAAAUUUGGUAUGACACAUUUUCCUGUUAGGACCACAACUGGACAGAGAGGUGACACAAGAGGGCAGCCUGAAGCCUAGCAAGUCCUCUUCGGGGAAGAGACAGCAGAGUCCCACCUCUGAUUUCCCCAGGGAUACAAUCCACACGCACACACACACACACACAGAAGCACACACACACACAGCUAGCAGACACACACAGCUAGCACACAAGCACACACACAGCAAGCAUGCACACACAGCUAGCACACACACAGCAAGCGCACACACAGCUAGCACACACACUAGGCGCACACACAGCACACACACACAGCUAGCACACACACACAGCAAGCGCACACUAGCGCACACACAGCACACACACACAGCAAGGGCACACA
rnacentral:lncRNA from 10 species